AGUUCUGCAGACUUACCCUCCCAUGACUACUUAGCUGAUUAGACAUUUAAAAUACAGCAACAUCUCUAAGAUAUGUUAUGUUGGCAAAAUUCUCAAUAUAUUCUUUACAACUGAUUGAUAGAAGGAAAUGUCCCUGGAAUCUCUAUAGUUUGCCGUUCCUUUUUCUCUAACAACCAGGAUGCAUCCUUCCUGUGGUGGGUUCAUCUGAGAUCAGGAUAUACAGAAAAAUGAACAUUUAAUCAACAGACAUGGCGUACAUUGUAUAUACAAUGAUGUUGACAAUCCAAUCUUGUAUCCAAACCUUAAUAAAACAA